rnacentral:lncRNA from 1 species
CGGUCCCCUCCUGUGCAACCCGAAGUUCUUGUGUCCCAUUUCGGUGCUUUGCACCCACUGCUACAACAGCGGUUGCAGAAUUAGGCAGCGUCAGGUUGUGCUGCCACCCUCUCUGCCCACUGAUUAUUAAGCUGUGACAGUCAUUUGGGCUGUGACAAGCAGUCCCCGCUCUCCUGCAGUUUCUAAGCAAUCUUCCCGAGGUCUCUCCCAGGGCUGACAGUUCCCUGCUGCUGCCCACACUGCUGUGUCCUGCUCCCAAGGCAGCAGGCAGGGCAAGGGCAGAGGAGCUGGGGCCAGCAGAGCCUGGCGUGCCACACUCUGGGACUCCAGGGCUCUGGUGGGCCUGGUGCCAGGAGUUGUGGCCGACCCCAGCUCCUUCCUGGCUCUUCUGGCAUUCCCAGGAGCUGGGCUGGAAGAAGAGCUGGAGCACUGGGGAGGGUUGCUGAACUGCCUGGACCAGGACAAAGGGGUGACCAGACAGGUCCUGCUUGUCUGACCCUGCUUCCUCAGAGGGCACCUGCCCUCGCCGCCCGCUCCCGGCUCCAAGCGAGUCCUCUGCUCCCUCUGCUCCCCCUCAGAAAGCUCCCUGCAGAGCUGCAGGGCUGUCCGCCUCCCCGAGAUUGUUGGUGGUACAAGAGCCCCCAGACACCCACCAGCACUGCGAUGUGUGGGAGAAGGGAGCUGGCUGUGGGGGCUGCGCUGGGCUCCCUGCCCGGGGGGCGACUACAGGGGCUCCCCACUGCCGGGGCAGGCUCCCCACACCUCGGGGCUGCCCCCUGUCCCCAGGGCAGGCUCCCCACUGCAGCCCCAUGCCCAGGACUGGCUUCCCACACCUUGGGGCUGGAUCCCCACUGCUCAGAGUUGGUUUCCCACUGCCCGGGGCUGGCUCCCCACACCUGAGGGCUGGAUCCCCGUGCCCAGGGCUGGCUCCCCACUGCCUGGGGCUGACUCCCUGUAACCCGGGGCUGGCUCCCCGCGGCUCGGACAGCCCAGCACCUGUCCCACACGCCGGGGAACCGUGGUGGCCCCACCGCCAGCCCCAUCCCGCGCCGUCCCCGUCAGGAGNNNNNNNNNNNNNNN